GGCUUCAAGCGUUGUCCGGAAUUAUUGGGUGUAAAGAGCUCGUAGGUCGUUUACCACGUCGGAUGUGAAAACCUGAGGCUCAACCUCAUUCCUGCAUUCGAUACGAGCAAACUAGAGUUUGGUAGGGGAGACUGGAAUUCCUGGUGUAGCGGUGGAAUGCGCAGAUAUACGGAGGAACACCAACGGCGAAGGCAGGUCUCUGGGCCAAUACUGACACUGAGGAGCGAAAGUCUGGGGAGCGAACAGGAUUAGAUACCCUGGUAGUCCAGACCGUAAACGGUGGGCACUAGUUGUGGGAACCUUCCACGGUUUCUGCGACGCAGCUAACGCAUUAAGUGCCCCGCCUGGGGAGUACGAUCGCAAGAUUAAAACUCAAAGGAAUUGACGGGGCCCCGCACAAGCAGCGGAGCAUGCGGCUCAAUUCGACGCAACGCGAAGAACCUUACCAAGGCUUGACAUAUAGGGAAAAGUGGCAGAGAUGCCAUGUCCGCAAGGGCCCUAUACAGGUGGUGCAUGGUUGUCGUCAGCUCGUGUCGUGAGAUGUUGGGUUAAGUCCCGCAACGAGCGCAACCCUCGUUCUGUGUUGCCAGCAUUUAGUUGGGGACUCACAGGAGACUGCCGGGGUUAACUCGGAGGAAGGUGAGGAUGACGUCAAAUCAUCAUGCCCCUUAUGUCUUGGGCUGCACGCAUGCUACAAUGGCCGGUACAGAGGGCUGCAAUACCGUAAGGUGGAGCGAAUCCCAAAAAGCCGGCCUCAGUUCGGAUUGAGGUCUGCAACUCGACUUCAUGAAGUUGGAGUUGCUAGUAAUCGUAGAUCAGCAACGCUACGGUGAAURCGU
rnacentral:rRNA from 1 species